rnacentral:sRNA from 3 species
AUAUCUCUCCGUACGGGAAGGAUGAGAAGCUUCGACUAAGGUUCGAUUCGAGCGCAGCGAGAACGCGUUGCCGCAGGCAACGACCCGAAGGG